GCUGAGGUCGCAUAACCUGGUAGUGCGCCAGCCUGCUAAGCUGGUGAGCGAGAGCUCAUGUGGGUUCAAAUCCCACCCUCAGCG
rnacentral:tRNA from 1 species